rnacentral:rRNA from 1 species
GGUGAACGCUGGCGGCGUGCCUAAUACAUGCAAGUCGAACGGUCUUUUCUAUGGAAGCUUGCUCCACUGAGAAGAUAGUGGCGAACGGGUGAGUAACACGUUGGUAACCUGCCCAGAAGAGGGUGAUCACAUCCGGAAACGGGUGCUAAUACCGAAUAGGUUUCUUGGUCGCAUGAUCAAGAAAGGAAAGACGGCAUUUGUGCUGUCGCUUAUGGAUGGACCCGUGGCGUAUUAGUUAGUUGGUGAGGUAACGGCUCACCAAGACGAUGAUACGUAGCCGACCUGAGAGGGUGAUAGGCCACAUUGGGACUGAGACACGGCCCAAGCUCAUACGUGAGGCAGCAGUGGGGAAUCUUCCGCAAGGGACGAAAGUCUGACGGAGCAACGCCGCGUGAGUGAAGAAGGUUUUCGGAUCGUAAAACUCUGUUGUCAGAGAAGAACAAGUCGGAGAGUAACUGCUCCGGCCUUGACGGUAUCUGACCAGAAAGCCACGGCUAACUACGUGCCAGCCGCCGCAGUAA